rnacentral:rRNA from 1 species
UACGUAGGGCGCAAGCGUUGUCCGGAAUUAUUGGGCGUAAAGAGCUCGUAGGCGGCUUGUCACGUCGGGUGUGAAAGCCCGGGGCUUAACCCCGGGUCUGCAUUCGAUACGGGCUAGCUAGAGUGUGGUAGGGGAGAUCGGAAUUCCUGGUGUAGCGGUGGAAUGCGCAGAUAUCAGGAGGAACACCGGUGGCGAAGGCGGGUCUCUGGGCAGUAACUGACGCUGAGGAGCGAAAGCGUGGGGAGCGAACAGG